rnacentral:lncRNA from 1 species
CCAAUGCACUCCGGCCUGGGCAACAGAGCGAGACUCUGUCUCAAAAAAAAAAGGGGGGGUGAAAUUUGGACGGAGACAGAUGCAUAUAAAGGGAAGACUGUGAAGAAACACAGGGAGAAGAUGGCCAUCUACAAGCCAAGAAGAAAGUCCUGGAACAGAUCAUUCCCUCACAACCCUCACAAGGAACCAAUCCUGCUGAGACCUUGAUCUUGGACUUCCAGCCUCCAGAGCUAGGAAAAAUUUUUAAAAGUCACCUUGGACUGAAGACCAGCAUCAGUUUAUAUGGUGUGAGUUCUUUCCAUUUGCCUUAGAUUGCACCUACACUGACAGAAGAAAGUAAAAAGAUCCAGCAGUUGAGGGAGCACUGGCUUCAUGGUUGAGUCAUCAUUUUGCUAAAUUAUGUAAUAAAUUCAUAAAUACUAACAGUGGAAAAACUAAACAGUGGAGGGAAAAUCCACUGUUUAUCUUCAUCUCCCAGUCUCCCAGUAUUUCACCAGUGGUAUCAAUUAUGAAAUGUCAGACUCAUAGGGAAUGGGAGACAGAGCUGGUCAAUGAUCUGACCAAGCAUCUGAUGAUGAUAAUGUUUUUAUUAUAUAAGGAGACACUUAAAACUGUAUAAAUAGACAUUUUAUUGUUUUCCUCUAAAUGUGUUUAACUCUAAAAAUGUUUUAGUGCAAAAUGUGUUAGCAGUUAGCAAUUGUUUGUUAUACUAGUGAUCCAACAUCUGUUAACAAUGAGGUUCUGGCAUACCAUCUGUAUUAGUCCAUUCUCAUGCUGCUAUAAAGAACUGCCUGAGACUGGGUAAUUUACAAAGAAAGGAGGUUUAAUUGACUCACAGUUCUGUGGGGCUGGGGACACCUAGAAAAUUUACAAGUAUGGUAGAAGGGGAAGCAAACACAUCCUUCUUCACAUGCUGGCAAGAGAGAGAAUGAGAACCAAGUGAAGC